GUAACAAGGUCUCCGUUGGUGAACCAGCGGAGGGAUCAUUACCGAGUUUACAACUCCCAAACCCCUGUGAACAUACCAAUUGUUGCCUCGGCGGAUCAGCCCGCUCCCGGUAAAACGGGACGGCCCGCCAGAGGACCCCUAAACUCUGUUUCUAUAUGUAACUUCUGAGUAAAACCAUAAAUAAAUCAAAACUUUCAACAACGGAUCUCUUGGUUCUGGCAUCGAUGAAGAACGCAGCAAAAUGCGAUAAGUAAUGUGAAUUGCAGAAUUCAGUGAAUCAUCGAAUCUUUGAACGCACAUUGCGCCCGCCAGUAUUCUGGCGGGCAUGCCUGUUCGAGCGUCAUUUCAACCCUCAAGCCCAGCUUGGUGUUGGGACUCGCGAGUUAAAUCGCGUUCCCCAAAUUGAUUGGCGGUCACGUCGAGCUUCCAUAGCGUAGUAGUAAAACCCUCGUUACUGGUAAUCGUCGCGGCCACGCCGUUAAACCCCAACUUCUGAAUGUUGACCUCGGAUCAGGUAGGAAUACC
rnacentral:rRNA from 1 species